rnacentral:rRNA from 1 species
GUGCAGCAGUCGAGAAUCUUCCACAAUGGACGAAAGUCUGAUGGAGCGACGCCGCGUGAUUGAUGAAGUCCCUCUGGGACGUAAAGAUCUUUAUGAGGGAAGAAGUUUAUUGACGGUACCUCAUGAAUAAGAGGCUCCUAAUCUCGUGCCAGCAGGAGCGGUAAUACGAGAGCCUCGAGCGUUAUCCGGAAUUAUUGGGCGUAAAGGGUGCGUAGGUUGUUCUGUUAGUCUUUUGUCAAAGCCCCGAGCUUAACUUGGGAUAUGCGGAAGAAACGGCAGAACUUGAAAGUGCGAGAGGCGUACGGAACUCAUGGUGUAGGGGUGAAAUCCGUUGAUAUCAUGGGGAACACCAAAUGGCGAAGGCAGUACGCUGGCGCAUAUUUGACACUGAAGCACGAAAGCGUGGGUAGCGAAUGGGAUUAGAUACCCCCGUAGU